GAUGAACGCUGGCGGCGUGCCUAAUACAUGCAAGUCGAGCGAACGGACGAGAAGCUUGCUUCUCUGAUGUUAGCGGCGGACGGGUGAGUAACACGUGGAUAACCUACCUAUAAGACUGGGAUAACUUCGGGAAACCGGAGCUAAUACCGGAUAAUAUUUUGAACCGCAUGGUUCAAAAGUGAAAGACGGUCUUGCUGUCACUUAUAGAUGGAUCCGCGCUGCAUUAGCUAGUUGGUAAGGUAACGGCUUACCAAGGCAACGAUGCAUAGCCGACCUGAGAGGGUGAUCGGCCACACUGGAACUGAGACACGGUCCAGACUCCUACGGGAGGCAGCAGUAGGGAAUCUUCCGCAAUGGGCGAAAGCCUGACGGAGCAACGCCGCGUGAGUGAUGAAGGUCUUCGGAUCGUAAAACUCUGUUAUUAGGGAAGAACAUAUGUGUAAGUAACUGUGCACAUCUUGACGGUACCUAAUCAGAAAGCCACGGCUAACUACGUGCCAGCAGCCGCGGUAAUACGUAGGUGGCAAGCGUUAUCCGGAAUUAUUGGGCGUAAAGCGCGCGUAGGCGGUUUUUUAAGUCUGAUGUGAAAGCCCACGGCUCAACCGUGGAGGGUCAUUGGAAACUGGAAAACUUGAGUGCAGAAGAGGAAAGUGGAAUUCCAUGUGUAGCGGUGAAAUGCGCAGAGAUAUGGAGGAACACCAGUGGCGAAGGCGACUUUCUGAUCUGUAACUGACGCUGAUGUGCGAAAGCGUGGGGAUCAAACAGGAUUAGAUACCCUGGUAGUCCACGCCGUAAACGAUGAGUGCUAAGUGUUAGGGGGUUUCCGCCCCUUAGUGCUGCAGCUAACGCAUUAAGCACUCCGCCUGGGGAGUACGACCGCAAGGUUGAAACUCAAAGGAAUUGACGGGGACCCGCACAAGCGGUGGAGCAUGUGGUUUAAUUCGAAGCAACGCGAAGAACCUUACCAAAUCUUGACAUCCUUUGACAACUCUAGAGAUAGAGCUUUCCCCUUCGGGGGACAAAGUGACAGGUGGUGCAUGGUUGUCGUCAGCUCGUGUCGUGAGAUGUUGGGUUAAGUCCCGCAACGAGCGCAACCCUUAAGCUUAGUUGCCAUCAUUAAGUUGGGCACUCUAAGUUGACUGCCGGUGACAAACCGGAGGAAGGUGGGGAUGACGUCAAAUCAUCAUGCCCCUUAUGAUUUGGGCUACACACGUGCUACAAUGGACAAUACAAAGGGCAGCGAAACCGCGAGGUCAAGCAAAUCCCAUAAAGUUGUUCUCAGUUCGGAUUGUAGUCUGCAACUCGACUACAUGAAGCUGGAAUCGCUAGUAAUCGUAGAUCAGCAUGCUACGGUGAAUACGUUCCCGGGUCU
rnacentral:rRNA from 1 species